rnacentral:misc_RNA from 1 species
GAUUGGGACGAAGUCGUAACAAGGUAGCCGUACCGGAAGGUGCGGCUGGAUCACCUCCUUUCUAAGGAGCACCACGAGAAACACUCCAAUUGGUGGAGUGUGAGCCGUGAGGGGUUCUCGUCUGUAGUGGACGAGGGCCGGGUGCACAACAACAGGCAAUCGCCAGACACACUAUUGGGCCCUGAGACAACACUCGGCCGACUUUGGUCGACGUGGUGUCCCUCCAUCUUGGUGGUGGGGUGUGGUGUUUGAGCAUUGAAUAGUGGUUGCGAGCAUCUAGACGGAUGCGACGCCCUCGGGCUGCGUGUUCGUCAAAAAUGUGUAAUUUUUCUUUUGGUUUUUGUGUUCGUAAGUGUCUAAGGGCACAUGGUGGAUGCCUUGGCAUCGAGAGCCGAUGAAGGACGUGGGAGGCU